GUAGGGAUGGCUCAGGGGUUAAGAGUACUGAAUGUUCUUCCAGAGGUCCUGAGUUCAAUUCUCAGCAACUACA
rfam:Mus musculus chromosome 18, GRC primary reference assembly.